AGGUCAGCUCUUGCCUAAGAAGAGCCAAAUGGCACAUCUCUGCAGAACCCAGGUGAUGGAGGAUCUGCUGACAGGAAAUGAACCAUCAGUUUAAUGCAAGCUUGUCAGUGGAUGUAGGCAGAAGCAUGACUCAUGCCAUCAAAUGCCUGGGGAAUUAUCUCCACCUUGUAAGCUGCAAAAUACAUUCUACCAUCCGGUUAAUUUAUGGCAGAAAUUUGGAAGUCUGCUGAGCUGGACACAGCUAGCUGGCAAUGGAUGCAUUGUUGUUAAAGAUGAGCAACAUGUGACAGUAAUAUCAAAUUAACUUAUGGAGACAAAAUGCAUGCAAAUUGCAAUAAGCUAUAAUAAAGAAAUGAAAGGACAUGAUGCUCUGUA